GUGGGGAAUCUUCCGCAAUGGACGAAAGUCUGACGGAGCGACGCCGCGUGAGUGAAGAAGGCCUUCGGGUCGUAAAGCUCUGUCAUCAGGGACGAACGGCCGGUGGAGUGGAAAGCCACCGGAUUGACGGUACCUGAGAAGGAAGCCACGGCUAACUACGUGCCAGCAGCCGCGGUAAUACGUAGGUGGCAAGCGUUGUCCGGAAUUAUUGGGCGUAAAGCGCGCGCAGGUGGGAUCUUAAGUCCAUUUUUAAAGUUCGGAGCUCAACUCCGUGAUGGGAUGGAAACUGGGAUUCUUGAGUACCGGAGAGGAAAGCGGAAUUCCCCGUGUAGCGGUGAAAUGCGUAGAUAUGGGGAGGAACACCAGUGGCGAAGGCGGCCUGCUGGACAUUAACUGACGCUGAGGCGCGAAAGCGUGGGGAGCAAACAGGAUUAGAUACCCGAGUAGUCC
rnacentral:rRNA from 1 species